rnacentral:rRNA from 1 species
GACGAACGCUGGCGGCGUGCUUAACACAUGCAAGUCGAACGGAAAGGCCCUGCUUUUGUGGGGUGCUCGAGUGGCGAACGGGUGAGUAACACGUGAGUAACCUGCCCUUGACUUUGGGAUAACUUCAGGAAACUGGGGCUAAUACCGGAUAGGAGCUCCUGCUGCAUGGUGGGGGUUGGAAAGUUUCGGCGGUUGGGGAUGGACUCGCGGCUUAUCGGCUUGUUGGUGGGGUAGUGGCUUACCAAGGCUUUGACGGGUAGCCGGCCUGGGAGGGUGACCGGCCACAUUGGGACUGAGAGACGGCCCAGACUGCUACGGGAGGCAGCAGUGGGGAAUAUUGCACAAUGGGCGGAAGCCUGAUGCAGCAACGCCGCGUGCGGGAUGACGGCCUUCGGGUUGUAAACCGCAUUCGCCUGUGACGAAGCGGGAGUGACGGUAAUGGGUAAAGAAGCACCGGCUAACUACGUG